rnacentral:lncRNA from 1 species
GACACAUCAUCAAUCAUGUGAUUUAUUUUUUAGUUAAAAUAUUAAAUAUAGAAAAAAAGUUCCCCCCCUAAUUACCUGUAGCCGCCUAAUUACAUUGUUAUAUGUAACUAGAAAGUGGAUCUUUAUUUCGUUAGUAAAAACAAAAACAAAAAAACCAUGGCUCAUACAUGUCUGGCCGCCAUGGUGUCCUCCGUCACAGUCUCACUGCCCUAUCUGACCACCUCCUCCUACGCCAAACCGCCGUCUUACUUCUUCAGCAACCUCAAAAUCCUCCUUCUCAAAGCACCCCUUUCAGCUUCCCGACGAAGAACCCCCAAUUUCACUAGGUAUAAUAUGUAAUUACGAGUUCCUGUUUUCUUGUGUUUAUGAUCGAGCUAGCUUCUGUAUUUUAUUCAGGUGACUGAUAACCUUGUGGGGCGCCCCCAUAAUUGGAGCCUUUCGAUCACUGUGAAUUGCUACAACGAUCAAGUAGUAGACGAGGAUGAAGAUGAAGAAUAGGAUCGGAGUUUGGAUCUGUUAGUUAGAUUUGUUCAAAACGUAUUUAGAAAGAUUUCUAAACGAGCAAGGAAAGCCGCUCGAUCGGUUUUGCCUGUCUUCAUCCCUAGUAAUCUGGUAGGUAUCCUUCAAUCGAUUUUAUAUUCCUUUUUUUUCCUUAUGUAAUUUAUGAAGGAUCCCUAGGUGGGAUUAUCCGUUAAUGGUGGGUUUUAACGGCAUUUCUUGAGGUAAUUCAUCAUUUGAUUCACCUGUGUUUAAAUCGAGUAGUUAGUCACUUUACACUUACUACUUAACUCGCUAGCUUGGAUAUCAGCAAUUCGACUAUUUAUACAAAAGUAAUUAGCAAAAAUCAGCAGCGUUUCAAAUAUUUAUAAGCAGCAAAUUAGCAAUUCAUGUUCAUGUGUUUACCAGCAACUAAACUAACUUUUCAGUUUUUGUGAAGUAUGAGGACUAUAUUUUGAUAAACUAAUGGGAUUAGCUGCUUAGUUUUCAUAAAGUAGAGGGAUAGGAUAAACUAAUGUGCAGCUGUAAUUACUUAUAUGGAAAAUAUUGAUUUUAAUAGUGUUAGAGUCGGAUAAUGUUAGACUGAAAUGAAAUGGAAUAGGAUAAACUAAGUUAUAAACCAAAAGGGAUGAUUGGUUCAGUAGACUGAAAUGAAAUACUGUUAAACUGAUAGAAUAAAUCUACAUCUAUUGGUGGAAAACCUUGGCUGUUCUGGCUGGGAAUUCAAUAUGCUUUCUUAAGUUUUUGUGUUCAACAUUUUUAUUCUGGGUUGGUCUGGUUAUUAGUGCUGUUAACUUGGUUGGAAAUUUGGGCUUUUAGUUAUUUACAGUAGGGAUGUUUUGCGAACCAAUCAGCAACUUUCAGUUAGUUAUAUACAGUGGGAGGGUGGAUAUGGUCUCCCUGAUAGCUUUGAGGUAAUAUUAAUUUUCAAGACAAAGAACAACCUUUUAUAGAUAAAUAUCCUAAGAAAAUGUACAUAAAAAGACAUUAAGAAACAGAGUUGAAAGGUUCAUAUGUACUGAGAUCCUUGACAAUUGUAGCAAUGGAGCCAGCCGCUGCAAGAACUGAUACAAUCAGGCAAAGCAACACCAAGAAGUUUAACCAUAUCCAUUUCCAACUAAAGGCUCGGAUCUGUUCUCUCGAUAUGUGCAUUUGGAUUGGGAAAUACACUGUCAGCGGCCAAAACGAAGCGGCACCCAGGAGGCCGAGGAUUGCAUUGAAGAACGGUAGAAGCAUCGCCAGCACGAUGGUCAGUAUCACGUAACCUGUUCGCCAUACAACCCUGAAAACACUGAAACUGUAAACCCCAAACAAUGGAAGCUUAAUUGGUGGACUUUCUUUGAUGAAACUGCUGUUUGGCCAUCGGUUGAAGCACCUGUCUUCCACCUGUUUGAAAAUUGGCUGACAGAAUACCUAUGAAGAAAACCAUCAAGAUUUUGCUGAAGAUAUGGGGAUAUUUUAUUGUGUGUUGUUUGUAGGUGAUGGUAAUGGGGGUGUUUUUACCUGGUAAGCUCCUAUAAGAUGUACAAUGAUGAAUACAUUAGCCAUGUCGAUAAGCCAG